rnacentral:rRNA from 1 species
AGACCCGUGGCAUAUAGCUCAGUAACACGUGGCCAAACUACCCUACAGACCGCGAUAACCUCGGGAAACUGAGGCCAAUAGCGGAUAUAACUCUCAUGCUGGAGUGCCGAGAGUUAGAAACGUUCCGGCGCUGUAGGAUGUGGCUGCGGCCGAUUAGGUAGAUGGUGGGGUAACGGCCCACCAUGCCGAUAAUCGGUACGGGUUGUGAGAGCAAGAACCCGGAGACGGUAUCUGAGACAAGAUACCGGGCCCUACGGGGCGCAGCAGGCGCGAAACCUUUACACUGCACGACAGUGCGAUAGGGGGACUCCGAGUGUGAGGGCAUAUAGCCCUCGCUUUUCUGUACCGUAAGGUGGUACAGGAACAAGGACUGGGCAAGACCGGUGCCAGCCGCCGCGGUAAUACCGGCAGUCCAAGUGAUGGCCGAUAUUAUUGGGCCUAAAGCGUCCGUAGCCGGCCGGACAAGUCCGUUGGGAAAUCGACGCGCUCAACGCGUCGGCGUCCAGCGGAAACUGUCCGGCUUGGGGCCGGAAGACCUGAGGGGUACGUCCGGGGUAGGAGUGAAAUCCUGUAAUCCUGGACGGACCACCAAUGGGGAAACCACCUCAGGAAGACGGACCCGACGGUGAGGGACGAAAGCUAGGGUCUCGAACCGGAUUAGAUACCCGGGUAGUCCUAGCUGUAAACGAUGCUCGCUAGGUGUGCCGUACGCUACGAGCCUGCGCUGCGCCCUAGGGAAGCCGAGAAGCGAGCCGCCUGGGAAGUACGUCUGCAAGGAUGAAACUUAAAGGAAUUGGCGGGGGAGCACCACAACCGGAGGAGCCUGCGGUUUAAUU